GGGCGCGUAGCUCAGGUGGUAGAGCACCUGACUUUUAAUCAGGGAGUCACAGGUUCGAGUCCUGUCGCGCCUACCA
rnacentral:tRNA from 1 species